GAUGAACGCUGGCGGCGUGCCUGAUACAUGCAAGUCGAGCGAACGGACGAGAAGCUUGCUUCUCUGAUGUUAGCGGCGGACGGGUGAGUAACACGUGGAUAACCUACCUAUAAGACUGGGAUAACUUCGGGAAACCGUAGCUAAUACCGGAUAAUAUUUUGAACCGCAUGGUUCAAAAGUGAAAGACGGUCUUGCUGUCACUUAUAGAUGGAUCCGCGCUGCAUUAGCUAGUUGGUAAGGUAACGGCUUACCAAGGCAACGAUGCAUAGCCGACCUGAGAGGGUGAUCGGCCACACUGGCACUGAGACACGGUCCAGACUCCUACGGGAGGCAGCAGUAGGGACUCUUCCGCAAUGGGCGAAAGCCUGACGGAGCAACGCCGCGUGAGUGAUGAAGGUCUUCGGAUCGUAAAACUCUGUUAUUAGGGAAGAACAUAUGUGUAAGUAACUGUGCACAUCUUGACGGUACCUAAUCAGAAAGCCACGGCUAACUACGUG
rnacentral:rRNA from 1 species